rnacentral:snRNA from 1 species
GUGCUAGCACUGGCAGCACAUAUACUAAAAUUGGAAUGAUACAGAGAAGAUUAGUAUGGCCUCUGUGCAAGAAAAAGAAAAGAAGAACAACUCU